GACGAACGCUGGCGGCGUGCCUAAUACAUGCAAGUCGAACGCAGUGGGGACGGUUGAGUAACACGUGGGUAACCUCCCAUCAGAGGGGAUAACACUUGGAAACAGGUGCUAAACCGAUACUGAUGGAUGGACCCGCGGUGCAUUAGCUAGUUGGUGAGGUAACGGCUCACCAAGGUCACGAUGCAUAGCAGACCUGAGAGGGUGAUCGGCAACACUGGGACUGAGACACGGACCAGACGCAUACGUGAGGAAGAAGUCGGGAAUCUUCGGCAAUCGACGAAAGUCUGACGGAGCAACGCCGCGUGAGUGAAGAAGGUUUUCGGAUCGUAAAACUCUGUUGUUAGAGAAGCGGUAUCUAACCAUAAAGCCACGGCUAACUACGUGCCAGCAGCCGCGGUAAUUC
rnacentral:rRNA from 1 species